rnacentral:rRNA from 1 species
UGGGGAAUAUUGCACAAUGGGCGCAAGCCUGAUGCAGCCAUGCCGCGUGUAUGAAGAAGGCCUUCGGGUUGUAAAGUACUUUCAGCGAGGAGGAAGGCGGUAAGGUUAAUAACCUUAUCGAUUGACGUUACUCGCAGAAGAAGCACCGGCUAACUCCGUGCCAGCAGCCGCGGUAAUACGGAGGGUGCAAGCGUUAAUCGGAAUUACUGGGCGUAAAGCGCACGCAGGCGGUCUGUCAAGUCGGAUGUGAAAUCCCCGGGCUCAACCUGGGAACUGCAUUCGAAACUGGCAGGCUAGAGUCUUGUAGAGGGGGGUAGGAUUCCAGGUGUAGCGGUGAAAUGCGUAGAGAUCUGGAGGAAUACCGGUGGCGAAGGCGGCCCCCUGGACAAAGACUGACGCUCAGGUGCGAAAGCGUGGGGAGCAAACA